rnacentral:rRNA from 1 species
UACGGAGGGGGCUAGCGUUGUUCGGAAUUACUGGGCGUAAAGCGCGCGUAGGCGGACCUGCAAGUCGGGGGUGAAAGCCCGAGGCUCAACCUCGGAACUGCCUUCGAUACUGCGGGUCUCGAGUCCGGGAGAGGUGAGUGGAAUUCCUAGUGUAGAGGUGAAAUUCGUAGAUAUUAGGAAGAACACCAGUGGCGAAGGCGGCUCACUGGCCCGGUACUGACGCUGAGGCGCGAAAGCGUGGGGAGCAAACAGGG